AUUCAUAUUCUUAUCAUAUUCCUUCUAAAAAAAGAAAAAUAAAAAGCAAAGAGAAGAGAAAAUGGAUGCAGAGAGGUUGCUGAAAAAUGAAUGAAUUAUUGUUUAGUUCAACUCCCACAUCCUCCUUCAAUUGUUUUUCCCCGUUAAAAUUUAGUCUAUUACCCCUUAGGAUUUAUCUUACCCUUACCCUGGUCAUGUUAUAACAUGAAUAAAACACUUUUGAUCUUUGUGUGCAUGUAUUUUAAGUGUGCAUGUUAGAGUCUUUUCAACCUUAUGGUAGUACUAAUUUUCAUGAAUAAAACACUUGUGCACACUGGUAUGAUAAAGGCAAGUUGUUUAUAUUUUAUUUUUAGUCACUUAGCCAAAAAAAGGAAACCUUAAAAAUAUCAUCCCUAGUUUGAAACUCCCUUUAGCGUAUUUAUCUCAUUCUUUGUUUGAAACUCAUUACAAGCCUAAAAGUGAAAAACAAUGUUAUUACCAUAUUUAAAGGGUUGAAAGAGUCUUAUUUAAAGUUGUAUGAGAUUGAAUUAAUAUAACUAUUACAAGCCUAAAAGUGAAAAACAAUGUUAUUACCAUAUUUAAAGGGUUGAAAGAGUCUUAUUUAAAGUUGUAUGAGAUUGAAUUAAUAUAACUGUGAUAUUUCAAAAGUUGGCAUAAAAGUAAAAAAAAUAAAAGAAAAAAUAAGAAGAAGAAAAAAAAAGGGAAGAAAAUUCAUAUUCUUAUCAUAUUCCUUCUAAAAAAAGAAAAAUAAAAAGCAAAGAGAAGAGAAAAUGGAUGCAGAGAGGUUGCUGAAAAAUGAAUGAAUUAUUGUUUAGUUCAACUCUCACAUCCUCCUUCAAUUGUCUUUUCCCCGUUAAAAUUUAGCCUAGUACCCCUUAG
rnacentral:lncRNA from 1 species